GGGCCUGUGGCACAAUGGUAGCGCAUCUGACUCCUGAUCAGAAGGUUGCGUGUUCAAAUCAUGUCAGGCUUA